UACAGAGGGUGCGAGCGUUAAUCGGAAUUACUGGGCGUAAAGCGCACGUAGUCGGCUUUGCAAGUCGGGUGUGAAAUCCCCAGGCUCAACUUGGGAACUGCAUCCGAUACUGGAUGGCUUGAAUUCGGGAGAGGGAUGCAGAAUUCCAGGUGUAGCGGUGAAAUGCGUAGAUAUCUGGAGGAAUACCGGUGGCGAAGGCGGCAUCCUGGACCGACAUUGACGCUGAGGAGCGAAAGCUAGGGGAGCAAACGGG
rnacentral:rRNA from 1 species